rnacentral:tRNA from 1 species
GGGCCGCUAGCUCAACCAGGCAGAGCAGCUGACUCUUAAUCAGCAGGUUACAGGUUCGAUUCCUGUGCGGCUCACCA